GACGAACGCUGGCGGCGUGCUUAACACAUGCAAGUCGAACGGAAAGGCCCUGCUUUUGUGGGGUGCUCGAGUGGCGAACGGGUGAGUAACACGUGAGUAACCUGCCCUUGACUUUGGGAUAACUUCAGGAAACUGGGGCUAAUACCGGAUAGGAGCUCCUGCUGCAUGGUGGGGGUUGGAAAGUUUCGGCGGUUGGGGAUGGACUCGCGGCUUAUCAGCUUGUUGGUGGGGUAGUGGCUUACCAAGGCUUUGACGGGUAGCCGGCCUGAGAGGGUGGCCGGCCACCUUGGGACUAAGAUACGGCCCAGACUCCUACGGGAGGCAGCAGUUGGUAAUAUUGCACAAUGAGCGGAAGCCUGUUGCAGCAAUGCCGCGUGCGGGAUAACGGCCUUCGGGUUGUAAACCGCUUUCGCCUGUGACGAAGCGUGCGUGACGGUAAUGGGUAAAGAAGCACCGGCUAACUACGUG
rnacentral:rRNA from 1 species